AUGAACGCUGGCGGCGUGCUUAACACAUGCCAGUCGAACGGAAAGGCCCCUUUGGGGGUACUCGAGUGGCGAACGGGUGAGUAACACGUGAGUAACCUGCCCUUGACUUCGGGAUAACUUCAGGAAACUGGGCUAAUACCGGAUAGGAAUCCUUGCUGCAUGGUGGGGGUUGGAAAGCUUCGGCGGUUUUGGAUGGACUCGCGGCUUAUCAGCUUGUUGGUGGGGUAGUGGCUUACCAAGGCUUUGACGGGUAGCCGGCCUGAGAGGGCGACCGGCCACAUUGGGACUGAGAUACGGCCCAGACUCCUACGGGAGGCAGCAGUGGGGAAUAUUGCACAAUGGGCGGAAGCCUGAUGCAGCAACGCCGCGUGCGGGAUGACGGCCUUCGGGUUGUAAACCGCUUUCAGCAGGGGCGAAGCUUGUGGUGACGGUACCUGCAGAAGAAGCACCGGCUAACUACGUG
rnacentral:rRNA from 1 species